rnacentral:miRNA from 1 species
CCUUGAGCUCACUUUGUAGCCCAGGCUGGUCUGAAACUCACAGGGAUCCUCCUGCCUCAGCCUCCUGAGUGUUGGCAU